rnacentral:lncRNA from 1 species
AUGACCAAAUACGGCAAGGCCCCACUGACAGACUCUUCAGUGCGUGAGUCACAGAGAAAAAUCCCUCUGCAAGCUCCCGAUGGUGCCCGGAGCCCCAGGGCUCGGAACCACUGUAUUCUUCCUUCCACAACAGGAAUUCCAACAAACAAACAAAAAAAUCUCUUCCUUAAAAUGACAAACCAGAAACACAAGUUGGAGAAAGGUCGCUGCAAUGAAAGAAAGGGAGGGAGGGAGGGAGGGAGGGAGGGAGGGAGGGAGAGAAGAAAGAAGAAGAAAGAAAGAAGAAAGAAAGAAAGAAAGAAAAGGAAGGAAGAAGAAAGAAAAGGAAGGAAGAAGAAAGAAAGAAAAAGAAGAAGAAGAAAGAAAGAAAGAAAAGGAAGAAAGAAAAGGAAGGAAGAAGAAGAAAGAAAGAAAGAAAGAAAGAAAGAAAGAAAGAAAAGAAAAAGAAAAAAGGGAGGGAGGAGGGAGGGAGAGAAGAAAAAAGAAGAAGAAAGAAAGAAAGAAAGAAGAAAGAAAGAAAGAAAGAAGAAGAAAGAAAAAAGGGAGGGAGGGAGGGAGGGAGAGAAGAAAGAAAGAAAAGAAAGAAAGAAAGAGAAAGAAAGAAAGAAAAGGAAAGAAAGAAAGAAAGAAAGAAGAAGAAAGAAAAGGAAAGAAAGAAAGAAAAGGAAGGAAGAAGAAAGAAAAAGAAAGAAAGAAAGAAAAGGAAAGAAAGAAAAGGAAAGAAAGAGAAGAAAGAAGAAGAAAGAAAAGAAAAGAAAGAAAGAAAGAAAGAAAGAAAAAGAAGAAAGAAAGAAGAAAGAAGAAAGAAAGAAAAGGAAGGAAGAAGAAAGAAAAGAAAGAAAGAAGAAGAAAGAAAAGGAAGGAAGAAGAAAGAAAGAAAGAAAAGAAAGAAAGAAAAGGAAGGAAGAAGAAAGAAAAGAAAAAGAAAAAAGGGAGGGAGGGAGGAGGGAGGCUGUUAAGAUCUCUACCUGCCUGUCUGACACGGAAAGCCAUCGCUGCUACAAAUUGCAUACCAGAUGCUGGGUUGUUCGAAUUUCAGGAAAAGAAGUCGGUUUUUUGUUUUUUUUUUUUUAA